rnacentral:rRNA from 1 species
GACGUAGGGCGCGAGCGUUGUCCGGAUUUAUUGGGCGUAAAGAGCUCGUAGGCGGCCUGUCGCGUCGACCGUGAAAACCCGCAGCUCAACUGCGGGCUUGCGGUCGAUACGGGCAGGCUGGAGUUCGGUAGGGGAGACUGGAAUUCCUGGUGUAGCGGUGAAAUGCGCAGAUAUCGGGAGGAACACCGGUGGCGAAGGCGGCGAUCUGGGUAGAUACUGACGCUGAGGUGCGAAAGCGUGGGGAGCAAACAGG